CCUACGGGGGGCAGCAGUAGGGAAUCUUCCACAAUGGGCGAAAGCCUGAUGGAGCAACGCCGCGUGGGUGAAGAAGGUCUUCGGAUCGUAAAACCCUGUUGUUAGAGAAGAAAGUGCGUGAGAGUAACUGUUCACGUUUCGACGGUAUCUAACCAGAAAGCCACGGCUAACUACGUGCCAGCAGCCGCGGUAAUACGUAGGUGGCAAGCGUUAUCCGGAUUUAUUGGGCGUAAAGGGAACGCAGGCGGUCUUUUAAGUCUGAUGUGAAAGCCUUCGGCUUAACCGGAGUAGGGCAUUGGAAACUGGGAGACUGGAGUGCAGAAGAGGAGAGUGGAACUCCAUGUGUAGCGGUGAAAUGCGUAGAUAUAUGGAAGAACACCAGUGGCGAAAGCGGCUCUCUGGUCUGUAACGGACGCUGAGGUUCGAAAGCGUGGGUAGCAAACAGGAUUAGAUACCCUAGUAGUC
rnacentral:rRNA from 1 species